AGGGUUCGAUUAUGGCUCAGGACGAACGCUGGCGGCGUGCCUAACACAUGCAAGUCGAACGGGGUUACACGAGGUGCUUGCACCAUGUGGAACCUAGUGGCGGACGGGUGAGUAACGCGUGAGCAACCUGCCUUUCAGAGGGGGAUAACAACGGGAAACCGUUGCUAAUACCGCAUGAUACCGGAUGAUGGCAUCAUUGACCGGUCAAAGGAGCAAUCCGCUGAAAGAUGGGCUCGCGUCCCAUUAGGUAGUUGGUGGGGUAAAGGCCUACCAAGCCGACGAUGGGUAGCCGGACUGAGAGGUUGAUCGGCCACAUUGGAACUGAGACACGGUCCAA
rnacentral:rRNA from 1 species